UCUUAGAGAGAGAAAGUCAAUCAUGAGAGAGAAAAAUAGAGAGAGAAAGUGGAGAGAGAAUCUUCGUAUCUUUCAAAAGUGACAAUCAUGAUUGAGAUCAUCAGAGGUCAUAUCAGGGUGACUUAAUAUGAAUUAAUCAUAAUUGAUGUUAUCAAUUUCGAAUAAGGAUCGGAUCGGAAUCCAAUCUACUGCACGAAUUUUGAAGCAGUCUCAGAUCAUCAUAUUUUCAUCUCAAGUUUAUCCUAGGG
rnacentral:lncRNA from 1 species